UACGUAGGGUACAAGCAUUAAUCGGAAUGAUUGGGCGUAAAGGGCGCGUAGGCGGCCUGGUAAGUCAGAUGUGAAAUUCCAAAGCUCAACUUUGGAGCUGCAUUUGAAACUGCUAGGCUAAAGAGGUAAGACGGAGAAAGCGGAAUUCCACGUGUAGCGGUGAAAUGCGUAGAUAUGUGGAGGAACACCUGUGGCGAAAGCGGCUUUCUAGUUUUAACCUGACGCUGAGGCGCGAGAGCAAGGGGAGCAAACAGG
rnacentral:rRNA from 1 species